rnacentral:rRNA from 1 species
ACGUCGCAUGCUUGCGGGCGCCAUGGCGGCCGCGGGAAUUCGAUUGUAUUACCGCGGCUGCUGGCACGAAGUUAGCCGGGGCUUAUUCUUGCGGUACCGUCAUUAUCUUCCCGCACAAAAGAGCUUUACAACCCUAGGGCCUUCAUCACUCACGCGGCAUGGCUGGAUCAGGCUUGCGCCCAUUGUCCAAUAUUCCCCACUGCUGCCUCCCGUAGGAGUUUGGGCCGUGUCUCAGUCCCAAUGUGGCUGAUCAUCCUCUCAGACCAGCUACUGAUCGUCGCCUUGGUGAGCCGUUACCUCACCAACUAGCUAAUCAGACGCGGGCCAAUCUUUCGGCGAUAAAUCUUUCCCCGUAAGGGCGUAUCCGGAAUUAGCACGAGUUUCCCCGAGUUGUUCCGAACCGAAAGGCAUAUUCCCACGUGUUACUCACCCGUCCGCCACUGACGUAUUGCUACGCCCGUUCGACUUGCAUGUGUUAAGCCUGCCGCCAGCGUUCGUUCUGAGCCAUGAUCAAACUCUAAUCACUAGUGAAUUCGCGGCCGCCUGCAGGUCGACCAUAUGGGAGAGCUCCCA